CCCCUAGACGUUCUGGGCUGCACGCGCGCUACAAUAAUACGCACAGCGAGUAUCACCGAGCUCGAAAGGGCAAGGUAAACAAUAGAAAAGGUACUGUAAUGGUUAUAGAUCCUUGUAAUUAUUGAUCUUCAACGAGGAAUUCCUAGUAAGUAUGUGUCAUCAUCACGCACUGAUUACGUCCCUGCCCUUUGUACACACCGCCCGUCGCCCCUACCGAUUGGGUGAGCCGAUGAAACUCUCGGAUGUAGGCUAUUCAUAGCCCGCAGAAGAGAUUUGAAUCGUAGCGCUUAGAGGAAGGAGAAGUCGUAACA
rnacentral:rRNA from 1 species